AUUGAACGCUGGCGGUAGGCCUAACACAUGCAAGUCGAACGAGUGGCGGACGGGUGAGUAAUGUCUGGGAAACUGCCCGAUGGAGGGGGAUAACUACUGGACACGGUAGCUAAUACCGCAUACCAUCGGAUGUGCCCAGAUGGGCUUAGCUAGUGGGUGGGGUAAUGGCUCACCUAGGCGACGAGCCCUCGCUGGGCUGAGAGGAUGACCAGCCACACUGGAGCUGAGACACGGUCCAGACUCCUACGGGAGGCAGCAGUGGGGAAUAGUGCACAAUGGGCGCAAGCCUGAUGCAGCCAUGCCGCGUGUGUGAAGAAGGCCUUCGGGUUGUAAAGCACUUUCAGCGGGGAGGCGUUACCCGCAGAAGAAGCACCGGCUAACUCCGUGCCAGCAGCCGCGGUAAUAC
rnacentral:rRNA from 1 species